rnacentral:rRNA from 1 species
UACAGAGGGGGCAAGCGUUGUUCGGAAUUACUGGGCGUAAAGGGCGCGUAGGCGGCCCUCUAAGUCGAACGUGAAAUCCCUCGGCUCAACCGAGGAACUGCGCCCAAUACUACCGUGCUUGAGGGAGAUAGAGGUGAGCGGAACUUAGGGUGGAGCGGUGAAAUGCGUUGAUAUCCUAAGGAACACCGGUGGCGAAAGCGGCUCACUGGAUCUCUUCUGACGCUGAGGCACGAAAGCUAGGGUAGCGAACGGG